GUUUAAUGUAAACAAUAACAAUUUGUACUUGAACCACGAUAUGUAAAUGCAGAAACUUUCCAAACACCGAAGCAGAUGAUAAAUCCUAUUUUGUAGGGUAUGCGGUCGUUCCGGCCCCAAACCGAUCCGGCCCCAAGUCAAAACGGCCCAAAGUCGAUCCGGCCCAAGUCGAUCCGGCCCCAUAAUAAAAUAUGAAUAAACUAUAGGCAUGCCUAAACUAU
rnacentral:lncRNA from 1 species